rnacentral:lncRNA from 1 species
CCUUUUAAAACAUGGAUUCUGAUUUAUGGUGCCAAAGUCUGUAUGCUUUGGGACCAAGCUUGCUUUGUUUGGUUAUCAGUAGGUAUUCCCAAAGACCAUCAGAGAGAUUCUUUUAGCAGGGUAGGGUAGAAGAAUGCAAAAAAGGCAAAGAAAAAGAUGGAACAUGCUCCCCUUUGUUUAUUUUGGUGUAUAUGGAAAGAAUGCAACAGCAGAAUUUUCAGCGUAGUGUAGCACUCAGAUCAGAUGCUGAAGGACUUAUUCCUGGAAUCAUUUUUUGGUUGGGCUAGGGGGUCCCCUGGGGGUUUGAUCUCUCCUUGAUAGAUUUCAUUGAGGGCUUGUCUAAUAGAUAGGAAGUAAUGGUGUUGUUUCUCAGUGCUGGCUUUUAUGUUGUUCUGUGUGUGUGUUUUUCCUUUUUCUCUUUCCUUUUCUUUUUGUGCUCUAUAUAAACUCCCAUUGUACUAGGGUUGCACCCCCUGUUUUUCCUGGUGCUCUUUAUCUUUGCUUCCAUUUGCCUAUAGAAAAAAGGAAAAGAAUAAAAAAAUAAAAAAAUAAAAACAAAGAAGGGCAUGCAUUUUAAAACUAUGUCAAGACAAGAUUCUAAUAUCAGCUUUCUGUAUUCUUGGUAUGUAAUGAGUGCCUUUUUUACUUGUGUAAAUGUAUCUUACUACAGUUUUGUGGUGCUUUGGUGCACAACAUGCACCAAUAAGACCAUAGUAUUAGAACCCUUUCCAUAUGUUUUUCUAGUAGGAUUUGUUUAGCAAACUUGUUCAGAUCUAAGUUUAGUGUUUCUUUGCAGGUUUUACAGGGAUUCAUGAUCCAUAUGAGCCACCAUUAAAUUGUGAGGUAUGAAUAUGUUUACUUGUGAAGAAGUGAAUCCCUUUGAUAUGCAUGAAAAUUCUUUUGCACUUGCAUAAAAUUCAUAUACACUUGCAUCUUACAUGAGGACAGUGCACAUCAUGAUUUCUGGAUGUCUUUUGAAGCCACUUAAGGCAGGGUGAUUUCUAAUUUCCAGAAGGGGUCAUAUAAAGUUAUUAAAUGUGCUUUUUUUGUCAGGAAAAAGGCGCUAAACAUUAUAGCUGAAUGUAACCUCAACAUGGUACUCUUUCUGAAACAAAGGUUGUACUAGACUCUCGUAGGAAACACUCCAACACUAAAGGUUGGACAUUUUCAAAAGUUUAUGGCCAAGAAAAACCGAGUUACAAAUCCCUUAAUGACAACCAAUACUACACUCCCACUAAGGCUCCACUCCCUGCUAACUCCAAUUCUCUGAAAAGAGGGCAAACUUCAUUACAUGGAAGCUCAACCUAGCACCCUUGCCAAUGGACAAGACUCUUCCCUGCCUUCUUGAUGACAUCCCCAAGAUUUUUUGAGAUUGAACCCUCACAUUCAUUUAACUGCCUUUCCAACACCAAGUUCAGACUGUCACUCUAAGCUUAAGGGGCAAAAUAGAAUUAAGGGCUUUGACAGAAUCAAAGUAAAAGGAAGAGUCCGCCAAGUAAUCUCAUAUCUAUGCCUUCUGACCUUAAUUAUCACUUCAAGGAUCCUUUUCCAUCUAUCAACUACAUGCCCUCACUAGGCAGGAUUCAUCUUCAGGCUACUAACCACCCCUCUGCAUGGAACAAGUUUACAUUAAUGCAUCAUUUGCUUCAUAGCUUUUAUUUUUAUGGCUUUCCUUCAUCUUUUCUAGGAAAAAUCUGACCAUAGACUUCAUUCAAUAGACAUAAUACUAACAGAAAAAAGUAUUACUUACAGUAAAUAGCAAGUAUUGUCACUACUACUGGUUUUCUCCAUCGUGUUUUGAAUUCCCAUUUUUGUUUUUUGAUUUUUUAUUUAUAAACUCCAAUUUUAAAAUGUGAACUAAGUGAAUUUUUUUCUCUCCUCAGAUAGUACUAAAACAUAGUGAAGAGGUCUGUACCUCCCCUAGAGACAUGGCUGAGAAAGUGAUACAUUACUUGGAGGAGAAUGGGUACCUUCAGGCAUAGACCAUCUUCCUGGCUUAUCAAGCUGUUUGAUCAGACAAUAGUGCUGGCAAGAAGAAGGCACAUA